rnacentral:rRNA from 1 species
UACGAAGGGGGCUAGCGUUGCUCGGAAUCACUGGGCGUAAAGGGUGCGUAGGCGGGUCUUUAAGUCAGGGGGGAAAUCCUGGAGCUCAACUCCAGAACUGCCUUUGAUACUGAAGAUCUUGAGUUCGGGAGAGGUGAGUGGAACUGCGAGUGUAGAGGUGAAAUUCGUAGAUAUUCGCAAGAACACCAGUGGCGAAGGCGGCUCACUGGCCCGAUACUGACGCUGAGGCUCGAAAGCAUGGGGAGCAAACAGG